rnacentral:rRNA from 1 species
CGUGCAGGCGGUUUUCUAAGUCGGACGUGAAAGCUCCUGGCUCAACUGGGAGAGGUCGUUCGAAACUAGGAGGCUUGAGGAUGGUAGAGGAGAGUGGAAUUCCCGGUGUAGUGGUGAAAUGCGUAGAUAUCGGGAGGAACACCAGUGGCGAAGGCGGCUCUCUGGGCCAUUCCUGAGGCUAAGACGCGAAAGCUAGGGGAGAGAACG